rnacentral:misc_RNA from 1 species
GAACGCACAUUGCGCCCGCCAGUAUUCUGGCGGGCAUGCCUGUCUGAGCGUCAUUUCAACCCUCAGCCCCCGUCCGCGGGGCGCUGGCGUUGGGGAUCGGCCGUCCUUGCGGCGGCCGGCCCCGAAACACAGUGGCGGUCUCCCGUAGACUCCCCUGCGUAGUAACACUACCUCGCAGAAGGGACGAGCGGGCUGGCCACGCCGUAAAACCCCCCACUUCUCAAGGUUGACCUCAGAUCAGGUAGGAAUACCCGCUGAACUUAAG